GAAAGUUGGAAAUACCUCAGCUUUUUAUGCCAGUCUCACUAACAGCUGCCAAGACAGAUGUGGGCCUCUCAGCUGUAGUCCUUCCUCCUCACGUCCAUAGAGUGUCCGAGAGAGUUAACAGGCUGAAUUCAGAAGAAGCAGGAGUUAGCAUCUUUGUUUUACAGCCAGAGUUUAAUAACUUGAAUUUCCUGCUUCUUUGGAAUUCAUCACCUGCUGUUUGCGGAGCCAGGUGCACCUGCACAGUUUCCUGAGCCCACGCCUACCUGCCGGACUGCCUGCCAGGCCAUUAGCAAGGCCAGUGGACAAACCACACACUUGGGUGUUCUUAGAGUCUGUCACUUUCGUGAUAGUGAGAUGCUCUGGGCUGCCUGCAACCCCUCCCAGUGUUUGCCAGACAACUGAGCUGGAGGCAGGGGUUCAUCUGGAAAAUGCCAGCAAGCAACGGAACGUUCUCAGACACCUUUUACCUAUGAGGACAGUGAGUCAUGGCCCUGAGUUUGUUGGGGUCUUUUUAUUUGCGCCUAUAUAUAUAUAUGCAUUCUCCCAAAGGCUUUGAAUAAGGUACUCCAGCAGGAGAUGCCUGAGCCUUGCUCACACACUCAUCUUGCCCCUUCAGUGCUGACAGCCUUGAAUUCCAACUGCCGACCCCUCCUUUUGUGUCCUGAGGACCUUCCCUUGAGCUGGAGCCCCCCUUUGCCACCUGUGCCACCCGCCUAAGUGCUAGGGAACUUCAUGAAGCCCUGGGGAGCAGCCUCCCCAUAGUGGUGAGCAGGAGUUGGUGUAUAAAUACCCCAGCUCCCUUGCCCCUCAGGUGGGAUGAUCUGAGGUGUGUGUUCUUCAUUGGCUUCCAGAGCUUUCCGAGCAGACUGAAGCUUCAGUCACCCACGGUGGUGGCUGGUUUGAUACUACAUGCUUUCUUGGCUGCCUUCCUUUCCCUGUCUCACUUCACCGUGCCCCUGCCAGCACUCCUGGGAUCAUCUUCCAAAUAAACUGCUCCAUCUGGAAUCUCUGUCUUAGAGU
rnacentral:lncRNA from 12 species